AAACCCAGGGGAUCCACACGAGUUCCUUUCAGUGUGGCCCAGUAACCGUUUGGUAUAAAAAAAUAAAAAUUAUUAAUUGGCAAAAAUAAACUGACGUACCUAUCGGCUUUUGUUGUCAGCUUUUAAAUUGUAUAGAAAUACUUUUGGGAAUCAAAACUUUUUUCCGUCAAAUAACGUACCGCUAGCGAAAACUGUUGAACAUUUUAAAGAGCGUUUCAAAUAAAGUACUACCCA